GAUGAAGAACGUAGCGAAAUGCGAUAAGUAAUGUGAAUUGCAGAAUUCAGUGAAUCAUCGAAUCUUUGAACGCACAUUGCGCCCCCUGGUAUUCCGGGGGGCAUGCCUGUUCGAGCGUCAUUUCACCACUCAAGCCUCGCUUGGUAUUGGGCGACGCGGUCCGCCGCGCGCCUCAAAUCGACCGGCUGGGUCGAUCGCACCCUCAGCGUUGUGGAAACUAUUCGCUAAAGGAGUUGUGGUCGGUCACGCCGUGAAACAAACCAAUCUUUCAAUGGUUGACCUCGGAUCAGGUAGGGAUACCCGCUGAACUUAAGCAUAUCAAUAAGCGGAGGA
rnacentral:misc_RNA from 1 species